CACAGAAUCUGUGGCCAUCUUGAACCUGCCUCAGAGGCCAUGGUAGAGUCCUUUUACUGCCACUGCUGUGAACCACAUCAUUCAGUAUGCAGCACUUCGAAUUUUGCCAAAGUAAUCAUGAUGUAUGAAAACUCGCAACGUGACAUCACGAAUUCUGUUAAAGACAUGACCAUCUCAUUUCCUGCCAGGUCUGGACCCUCAAUUCCUUCACUUGAAUGUGAGUCAGCCUCAUGAGGACAGUUGCAUUUGCCUCCCGCCUAUUCUCAUGCCUAUGAUCACUCCUUUCACAACUAUUAACUCAUCUCACACAGCCUCUCUGCAUAGUACAAUUCUGAAAUAAAAUUUGAUUGUGUUACAUUA
rnacentral:lncRNA from 1 species